CCUGGCCCCGUGCCACACAACUGUAGUCCCAGCUACUCAGGAGGAUGUGCAGGAGGAUUGCUUGAGCCCAGGAGUUCUGGGUUGUCAUGCACUAUGCUGAUGGUGUGUUUGCACUGAGUUCAGCAUCAAUAUGGUGACCUCCCUGGGAGUGGGGGACCACCAUGUUUCCUAAGGAGGAGUGAACCAGCCAGGCUGGAAAUGGAGCAGGUCAGACCUCCUGUGCUGAUCAGUACUGGAUUGCACCUGUGAAUAGCCACUGCACUCCAACCUGGGUAACAGAGCAAGACCCCAUCUCAAU
rfam:Nomascus leucogenys chromosome 10, whole genome shotgun sequence.